rnacentral:misc_RNA from 1 species
UUAAGUUCAGCGGGUAGUCCUACCUGAUUUGAGAUCAAACGUUCAAAGAGCUGUCCUCGCUUAGGAGAGACGUUUAUAAGCUCCAGCGAACCUCCAUUGCUGAAGGUUAUCUGAUGGAAAACCACAAGCGCAGAUAGUUAUCACACCUGUGAUGCCACCAAACACUGGUAAGCUGAUCCAUUUGAGAGGAGCCGGCCACA